rnacentral:rRNA from 1 species
CGCAGGCGGUUUGUUAAGUCAGAUGUGAAAUCCCCGCGCUUAACGUGGGAACUGCAUUUGAAACUGGCAAGCUAGAGUCUUGUAGAGGGGGGUAGAAUUCCAGGUGUAGCGGUGAAAUGCGUAGAGAUCUGGAGGAAUACCGGUGGCGAAGGCGGCCCCCUGGACAAAGACUGACGCUCAGUUGCGAAAGCGUGGGGAGCAAACAGGAUUAGAUACCCUGGUAGUCCACGCUGUAAACGAUGUCGACUUGGAGGUUGUGCCCUUGAAGA